rnacentral:rRNA from 1 species
AGUGAACGCUGGCGGUAGGCCUAACACAUGCAAGUCGAACGGCAGCACAGUAAGAGCUUGCUCUUACGGGUGGCGAGUGGCGGACGGGUGAGGAAUACAUCGGAAUCUACUUUUUCGUGGGGGAUAACGUAGGGAAACUUACGCUAAUACCGCAUACGACCUACGGGUGAAAGCAGGGGAUCUUCGGACCUUGCGCGAUUGAAUGAGCCGAUGUCGGAUUAGCUAGUUGGCGGGGUAAAGGCCCACCAAGGCGACGAUCCGUAGCUGGUCUGAGAGGAUGAUCAGCCACACUGGAACUGAGACACGGUCCAGACUCCUACGGGAGGCAGCAGUGGGGAAUAUUGGACAAUGGGCGCAAGCCUGAUCCAGCCAUACCGCGUGGGUGAAGAAGGCCUUCGGGUUGUAAAGCCCUUUUGUUGGGAAAGAAAAGCAGCAGGUUAAUACCCCGCUGUUCUGACGGUACCCGAAGAAUAAGCACCGGCUAACUUCGU